UACAGAGGGUGCGAGCGUUAAUCGGAAUUACUGGGCGUAAAGGGCGCGUAGGCGGUUAUUUAAGUUGUUUGUGAAAUCCCUGGGCUUAACCUAGGAAUGUCAAAUGAUACUGGAUAGCUGGAGUGCUGUAGAGGGUAGUGGAAUUUCCGGUGUAGCGGUGAAAUGCGUAGAUAUCGGAAGGAACACCAGUGGCGAAGGCGGCUACCUGGACAGACACUGACGCUGAGGCGCGAGAGCGUGGGGAGCAAACAGG
rnacentral:rRNA from 1 species